CCGAAAUGUUUUGCCUGCAGUCUACUUAUACAAAUAGGUGAAAUGGAAUAUUCUUGACCUCUCUUAAGUUUAUAGGGUGACUGGCAUUGCCAGCCACAUAGUAGGUUUGAUUGAUCCCUGCGAGUAUUUAAGUGCAACUUAUCUUUAAGUUGUAGUGUGCACUGUGUCAUGGCUGUAGCCUUUGACUACACUUAUUAAGGGUACAAGGGGGUUGUAGUAGAGAAUCAAACCAGUUGUAAGGUGGUAAGUUUAUUUGGUGGCUUUCUGGUGGGAUUACUACGGG
rnacentral:misc_RNA from 1 species